CAUAUUGUUUGCUACACUACCGCCUUCUGAAAAAAGGGUUCAGGGUUAGAAUCAAGAUAUCACUUCGUUUGAGUGCUUAGUGUCGCUGUGUACUCUUUUUAUUUUGGAAUGAAUUUAUAUAGUUUCAAUUAUCACAUUCUUCAAGUGAAAUACAAACAAACGCGAUAAAUUUCAUACUGUCAAUAUAAAAAUUAUCAGUGGGUUUUUAUACACCAUUAAUAAACGACAUUCAAUAAGAAUUUUAGAAAUGGCUGCUGCUGCUGCUGCUGCUCUACUUGAUGAACUUAUGGGAAGAAACAGAAAUGUUCUUCCUAAUGAAAAACCUAAAGAACUUAAUUGGGAAGAUCCUGAAUUUUGUAAAUUAUAUUUAGUUAAAUUUUGUCCUCAUGAUUUAUUUGUUAAUACGAGAGCUGAUUUGGGUGCAUGUUCUCGAGUACAUGAUGAUGAAGCUAGAGAACUGUUUGAAAAAGCUCCAUAUUCAUAUCGAAAACAACAAUAUGAAGAUGAAUUUAUUAGAUUUUGUCAAAGUAUGUUAAAUGAGGUUGAAAGAAAAAUAAUAAAAGGAAAACAACGAUUAGCUCUUAUUGGAAGAACUGAAGCGCCUACUUUAACACCAGCACAAACUCAGAGAAAUGAAGAACAAAUUGCACUUUUAACUGAGAAAAUUAAUAAAUUAGUAGAAGAAGCAGAACAAAGUGGUAUACAAGGUAAUGUGGAACAGGCUCAAGGUUUAAUGAGAUUAUGUGAUCAAUUAAAAGAAGAACGAGAAACCUUAAGGAAAUCUAAUGACAAUAGUCAUUAUAACCAGACUGCCGAAUUAGCUGCUGCACAAGAAAAACAAAUGGAAGUAUGCGAUGUAUGUGGUGCAUUUCUUAUUGUUGGAGAUGCACAACAACGAAUUGAUGAUCAUCUAAUGGGUAAACAACAUGUUGGAUAUGCUAGAUUAAAAAGUGCUCUUCAAGAAAUUAUGAGUAAACGUGAGAAAGCUAGAGAUGAAAAAGAACAAAGAAGAGAAGAAGAUAGGAAACAAAGAGCACGUGCCAAUGAAGAACUUGAUAGACGAAGAAGAGAUGAUCGAGAUAGAGAUAGAGAAAGAGAUAAACGCCGUAGACGCGAUGACGAUAAAGGCAGACAUGAUUCGGGCAGUCAUAGAAAUUCGGGACACAGAAGUAGAAGUAGAUCAAGAGAUAAACAUGACAGACAUCGAGAUGAUGAUCACCGACGUCAUGCACGAGAUAAAGGAAAUCGUGAUCAUCGAAGCUCGAGUCAUCACAACCGGCGACGCCAUCGAUCUAGAAGUCGAAGUCACAAGUAACAACUCUUGAUUGGUUAGUGAGUGAGAAGUAAGCCAGGUAUGCACUAAACAAUAUAGCAUAUUCGUCUCAAUUACUGUACAGGUUCUUUACCAGGUGAGUUUCAUUAGAUGCACAUAAUAUAUACAUGAUAAUUAUCUGUAAUUUUGAAGAAUGGCAUAGUCACAGCGAGCCAGUCUCUGGUCCUGCCUAUUAAUCGGAGAAACACUUGUACUAAAUUUCAUAUGGACCUGUUUGUACAGCGUUUAAUUUUGAAAGUGACGAGCUUGCUCUAUGUAACGUAUUACUGAAAAACGGUGCAUCGAGGUAAUGUCGAGCAAGGAAUAGUAAUAUUGUUCCCAUACGAAAGGUAUUUUUAUCAUGUAGUAUUAUAGAUAUUGUCUACAGAGCAAGAUAGGAGAAGGUAUACCUAUGCUUGCUUUGAUCGGUAUAAUGUCUUCAUAGGGUAAAUCAAUUAUAUAAUUUCAACGACUGCAUAGCUUUUUUGUCGAAAAGAAAUUAGUGGUUUAGUGGAGGAAACAGUGCCUACUUCCGUAGACCUGCCACAACAGUGCCCUGUGUGACUGUGACUAUACAAUCCUAGCUUCUACUACGCAUUUCUGAGACAGAAGACAUGCCAUGGAGAUGUAACCAAUGCAACAGGCUCACUUGCACACUGCUUAAUAUAAUAUUGAGGUAAAGAUUUUGCAUAAUCUAAAAAUUCCAAUCAUGAAUUUUAUACACCUGCGUUUGGUUCAUUUUUACUACAUCGCGUUUUCUUGAAGUUAAUUACAAGAAAAAUCAUAAAAUUAAAAGAAUUGAAUACAUAAUUAUUGUUAUCAACAUUAUAUUAUGAUAUAGGGAAAAAAUUAAAAACAGAUUUAUUAGUAAUUUAUUCUUAUUUGCAAAUGUUACUCUAGGCUACAUAUGAUAAAAAAUAUCAAGGUAAAUUGUCUAUAAUUUGCAUUGUAAUACUCUUAAAAUUGUUAAUUAAAAUUAAUAAAACAGUACUACAA
rnacentral:misc_RNA from 1 species